AUAGGCCAGGUGUGGAAGCGCAGUAAUGUGUGAAGCUAACUGGUACUAAUCGUUCGAUUGGCUUGAUCA
rnacentral:rRNA from 1 species